CUUGCCCCUAGAGGUGUUGAAGGUAUGGCUGCUGUGUCACAUGUGCAUCAGUAGGUGGCAGAGUUGCUAGAGCCUAUGUUUAGGCUCACUGUUGUGACCUAUGGACAUCUGAAUGAUUACUAGCUUAACACA